GCCAGACUCCUACGGGAGGCAGCAGUGGGGAAUAUUGCACAAUGGGGGAAACCCUGAUGCAGCGACGCCGCGUGAGCGAUGAAGUAUUUCGGUAUGUAAAGCUCUAUCAGCAGGGAAGAAAAUGACGGUACCUGACUAAGAAGCCCCGGCUAACUACGUGCCAGCAGCCGCGGUAAUACGUAGGGGGCAAGCGUUAUCCGGAUUUACUGGGUGUAAAGGGAGCGUAGACGGCGAUGCAAGCCAGAUGUGAAAGCCCGGGGCUCAACCCCGGGACUGCAUUUGGAACUGUAUAGCUAGAGUGUCGGAGAGGCAGGCGGAAUUCCUAGUGUAGCGGUGAAAUGCGUAGAUAUUAGGAGGAACAUCAGUGGCGAAGGCGACUUUCUGGACUGUAACUGACGCUGAGGCACGAAAGUGUGGGGAGCAAACAGGAUUAGAUACCCCGGUAA
rnacentral:rRNA from 1 species